AUGGCGGACGCGUUGAGGGAGCGCACGGCGCAGCUGCUGACCGACUACCUGGAGUACUGCGCCCGCGGCCCUGGCACCCCCGCGCGGUCGCCCUCUACGCGCGAGGCCGCGGUGCUGCGCUCGGUGGCCGCCGACGUGCGGCAGCGUCACGAGCGCUUCUUGUCGGAUUACCGCGGCUACCGCGGCAACCGCGUCGAGCUGGUGGCUCAGGUGGAGCGGGAGAUACUCGCCCACCCCCAAGCACUAAGCUGGGGCCGUGUGGUGGCGCUCUUGACCUUCGCGGGAACGCUGCUGGAGCGCCCGCCGUCGGGGGCCUGCUCGAACUUGGGGCCGGACCAGGAACUGGAGCUGGGGGAGUGGGAGGCCAACGUUCGCCAGGACUGCCGGCGUCUGGUGGACUUCCUCUGCCGUCGGCUCACAGGGCAGCACCGCGCUUGGCUGGAGGCGCACGGCGGCUGGGACGGCUUUUGUCUCUUCUUCACACCCGUGCUGCUGUCUUCCUGGAAAAGACUGCUGGUCCAAGCUCUUCUGUCAUGCUUUACGGCAGUGAUCUUAAUCUACUUCUGGAAAAGAUUACCGACACCGUUUGAAAGACUGGUUACAUUACCAAGGCUUUGACUGGAAUGUCUUACUUGAGAGAGAAAUGCAUCACCUCAGAUGUGACCAGACCGCUUUAAGGAAUUAAGAUUGACCUUACAGAGCCAAGGGAGCCUCUUGGAACUGUCGGCCUGAUUCCUUGCUUGCAGAGUUCCCAGCGACCUUUCCAGAAACGUGGAAGCAGUUCCUGACUCCUUCACCGAGCCAGAACAUGAUCCUUAGUACUCAGAACAAGUCCACCCCCACGCGCCAUCUGGACUCUGCAGCAGUGGCCCUCCGUAGGGAUGAUUUUCGUCCCAUAGGUAGGGAUAGCUCUACAACCCCAUUCACAUGAAGUUACAGAAGAUGAGCCCUCCCUCCUUCAGCAGCCUUAAAGAUCUGAGGACCAAAAAAUAGCCAGACGGGAAAUGAGGGAUAGAAGAAAAAAAAAACAACAACUCAUCUUUAACCCAGAACACCCAGCAUGGAACCCAGUGCAGGGCUCAAACUCACAACCCUGAGAUCAAGACCUGGAUGUUCAACCAGCUUAGCCACGCAGGCACCUCAGCUGGCUGCUGUGUUCUUGAAUGGUCUCAUGCCUACCUGUAUGUCUCACUGAGAGUUAGUAUUUGAGCUGAAUGACAAACUACCAAGAUUUCUCUCUUGCUUUUCAAAUACAAUUUGAAGAAGGGCAACUGCCUUCAGCGUGGGUCAUGAUUCCAGGGCCCUGGGGUUGAGGCCCACAUCAGGCUCCCUGCGAG